GAUGAACGCUGGCGGCGUGCCUAAUACAUGCAAGUCGAGCGAAUGGAUUGAGAGCUUGCUCUUAUGAAGUUAGCGGCGGACGGGUGAGUAACACGUGGGUAACCUGCCCAUAAGACUGGGAUAACUCCGGGAAACCGGGGCUAAUACCGGAUAACAUUUUGAACCGCAUGGUUCGAAAUUGAAAGGCGGCUUCGGCUGUCACUUAUGGAUGGACCCGCGUCGCAUUAGCUAGUUGGUGAGGUAACGGCUCACCAAGGCAACGAUGCGUAGCCGACCUGAGAGGGUGAUCGGCCAAACUGGGACUGAGACACGGCCCAGACUCCUACGGGAGGCAGCAGUAGGGAAUCUUCCGCAAUGGACGAAAGUCUGACGGAGCAACGCCGCGUGAGUGAUGAAGGCUUUCGGGCCGUAAAACACUGUUGUUAGGGAAGAACAAGUGCUAGUUGAAUAAGCUGGCACCUUGACGGUACCUAACCAGAAAGCCACGGCUAACUACGUGCCAGCAGCCGCCGUAA
rnacentral:rRNA from 1 species